rnacentral:rRNA from 1 species
AUGGACCAUUCCAUCACUUUUUCCCGUGCAUAUGCAUCGGACUCGGAUGACGAUGGUCCCGAUGAACAAGUUGAUGCGGAGGGGUUCACGGUGAAGGAGGCCGAAGCUUUCGAGAAGGUAUUUGGUCGGGAUCAUCGGACUACAUUGUUCAAGGAUGUUAGUCUCGUGGAUGAAGCUGUGGUAGAUGGUGGCCAAUGUGUACCUCUUGGGGUUAGGCCAAGAUCUCACCGUGAUUUGGUAGACGACAAAAACCGGAUUGCUAAAGGUUCUAAGUUUGACACCUUGUUGUAA